rnacentral:rRNA from 1 species
CGGCGGAGCAUGUCGGAUUAAUUCGAUGCAACGCGAAGAACUUACCAAGGCUUGACAUACACCGUAACGCCCAGAGAUGGGUGCCCCUUUGUGGUCGGUGGACAGGUGGUGCAUGGUUGUCGUCAGCUCGUGUCGUGAGAUGUUGGGUUAAGUCCCGCAACGAGCGCAACCCUCGUCCUAUGUUGCCAGCGGGUCAUGCCGGGGACUCAUGGGAGACUGCCGGGGUCAACUCGGAGGAAGGUGGGAUGACGUCAAAUCAUCAUGCCCCUUAUGUCUUGGGCUUCACGCAUGCUACAAUGGCCGGUACAAAGGGCUGCGAUACCGCGAAGUGGAGCGAAUCCCAGAAAGCCGGUCUCAGUUCGGAUUGGGGUCUGCAACUCGACCCCAUGAAGUCGGAGUCGCUAGUAAUCGCAGAUCAGCAACGCUGCGGUGAAUACGUUCCCGGGCCUU